rnacentral:rRNA from 1 species
AAUAGAUACCCCGGUAGUCCACGCCGUAAACGAUGGAUGCUAGCUAUUGGGGGGAAUCGACCCCCUCCGAAGCGAAGCUAACGCGUUAAGCAUCCCGCCUGAGUAGUACGAGCGCAAGCUUAAAACUCAAAGGAAUUGACGGGGACCCGCACAAGCGGUGGAGCGUGUGGUUUAAUUCGAUGGUAAACGAGGAACCUUACCAAGGUUUGACAUCCCGGUAGCCGUUCUCCGAAAGGAGAAUUUCAUUUAGUUGGACCGGUGACAGGUGAUGCAUGGCCGUCGUCAGCUCGUGUCGUGAGAUGUUGGGUUAAGUCCCGCAACGAGCGCAACCCUUAUGAUUUAGUUGGAUUUUUCUAAACAGACUGCCCUGGUAACAGGGAGGAAGGAGGGGAUGAUGUCAGGUCAGUAUUUCCCUUACACCUUGGGCGACACACGCGCUACAAUGGCCGGUACAAUGGGCAGCUAAGCCGCGAGGUGGAGCAAAUCCCAUCAAAGCCGGUCCCAGUUCGGAUUGCAGGCUGAAACCCGCCUGCAUGAAGCCGGAAUCGCUAGUAACC